UUGUCUCAAAGAUUAAGCCAUGCAUGUCUCAGUACAAGCCAAAUUAAGGUGAAACCGCGAAAGGCUCAUUAAAUCAGUUAUGGUUCCUUAGAUCGUACCCACACUUACUUGGAUAACUGUGGUAAUUCUAGAGCUAAUACAUGCAAACAGAGCUCCGACCGGAGACGGGAGGAGUGCUUUUAUUAGAUCAAAACCAAUCGGCGGCGGGCGCGUUCGCGCGUCCGUUCGCCGCUCAACCUGGUGACUCUGAAUAACUUUCGGCUGAUCGCACGGUCUCGCACCGGCGACGCAUCUUUCAAAUGUCUGCCUUAUCAACUGUCGAUGGUAGGUUCUGCGCCUACCAUGGUCGUAACGGGUAACGGGGAAUCAGGGUUCGAUUCCGGAGAGGGAGCCUGAGAAACGGCUACCACAUCCAAGGAAGGCAGCAGGCGCGCAAAUUACCCACUCCCGGCACGGGGAGGUAGUGACGAAAAAUAACGAUACGGGACUCAUCCGAGGCCCCGUAAUCGGAAUGAGUACACUUUAAAUCCUUUAACAAGGACCAUUGGAGGGCAAGUCUGGUGCCAGCAGCCGCGGUAAUUCCAGCUCCAAUAGCGUA
rnacentral:rRNA from 1 species